rnacentral:rRNA from 1 species
CCUACGGGGGGCAGCAGUGAGGAAUAUUGGUCAAUGGGCGCGAGCCUGAACCAGCCAAGUAGCGUGAAGGAUGACUGCCCUACGGGUUGUAAACUUCUUUUAUAAAGGAAUAAAGUGAGGCACGUGUGCCUUUUUGUAUGUACUUUAUGAAUAAGGAUCGGCUAACUCCGUGCCAGCAGCCGCGGUAAUACGGAGGAUCCGAGCGUUAUCCGGAUUUAUUGGGUUUAAAGGGUGCGUAGGGGGAUGAUUAAGUCAGCGGUAAAAUUUUGAGGCUCAACCUCAUAGUGCCGUUGAGACUGGUAGUCUUGAGUGAACGUGAGGUAUGCGGAAUGCGUGGUGUAGCGGUGAAAUGCAUAGAUAUCACGCAGAACUCCGAUUGCGAAGGCAGCAUAC